rnacentral:tRNA from 1 species
UACCGAUAUAGUGAAACGGAUAUCACGACAGACUACGAAUCUGUUAGUCCAAGUUCGAAUCUUGGUAUCGGUGU